UUAUGUCUUUGUAAUCUUUAUAAUGAACCUACUUUUGAAUAAUGGGAAAAAAUAUCAAGUAAAGGAUUUAUUGGAAAUAAAUGAAAGUACAAUAAUAAAACUAUUUAAUGAUCAUAAACAAAAUUAUAAAAGAAGAAAACAAAGAACUAAAACGUGUACUUAAAUGACACAAAAUAAAACGUGUUCGUAUAUGACACAAAUGAAACUUCUGAGUUUAUUACCAGUGGGCACCGGACCUGAAAAACGUCUUUUGAACGUUCAAAAGACGUCUAAAAGGUGUAUAAGUUGUUUUAAAGACGCCUUUUUUACGUCCGUGCCCACUGGAUUAGUAAACAUUACGAAAUAAUAAUAGAAACAUUAAAUCUUACUAAAAAAAAAAAAAAAUGCAGAAGGUCAACUGAAUCAAAAAUGUUUAAACGAUGAAAAUAAAACACUAAAGAAGAAAAUUGCUGAAUAAGAUCGAAGUAGAAGAAAUAACUUGCGAAUUGAAAUAAACAAUGAAAAUGAAGCACUAAAUAAUAAAACUGCUGAACUAGUAGACCGAAGUAGAAGAAAUAACUUACGAAUUGAGGGAGUUGAGGAAGGCGAAAUAUGGGAGAAAAGUGAAGAAUUGAUUUAAAAUCUACCGAGAGAAAAACUGGAUGUUAAAAAAAGUAUACAAAUUGAAUGAACGCAUCGUGUUGGAAGAAAAGAACACGAAAAAGCGUAGAACCGAAGUAUCGUUGUCAAGUUCUUCAAUUGUAGAGAUCGUGCAAACUUUCUUGAAAAAUACAAAAAAAAAAAAAAUUUGUGGAAGAAAAACAUGUACGAAGGUUUCAGCGAACGGGCAACUAGUAAUUGCAAACAACUUUUCUGACAAGCAAAAGAACUCAAGGUCACAGCUGUGACAAACCAAAUUUGGUAUGCAAUGUUUUUAUGUGUUUACGAUAACCUGAUGAAGUGCUUCAUCAGUUUAUGUGCUGCCAUAAACUGAUGAAGAAUUUAAUUUAUUAUCUAAUAUUAUUGAUUGAUUUAUUAUCUAAUAAUAUGUGAAAAAUUCAUCAGAUGUAAGGUAUUCCGCCAACUUUAGCUUGAUUCUUGGCCUACGGUGAGACUUGAGCAUUUAUGUCGAUAUUACUCCAAAACUGAAAUACGUGUUUAAAAAAAAUUGCUACAAACAAAUUUUAAAUGCAACAUUAUUUAGAAGCAACAUUAUAAAAACACAUGUAAAAAUGAUGUUAUGUAUGGUAUUAAUUAUCUUUUGAUUAAAGUUUUUUAUCAACAGAAAAAAAAAUUAGUUUUACUUAUGCCCUUUGCAUUGUGUUGCUAUUUAUUACACUUACUACUAUGUGGAUUCAAACAGUUAUAUUUGUUCAUUUAACAUCUAGCUACAACAUCUGUUAAAUUAAUUUAAAUAGUAAUCAACGGGUAACUGGUAAAAACAUUUAAUCUAAUACAUGACAAUGUUACCCACAUGUCAAAGUAAACCCCGCGUUUCCUUUUGUUUAUUUUCUUAAUAACAUUACAAAUCUUAAGAAUGAAAAGCAUUCUUUUGUCUGAACUUAACGCGUGAGUAAACUUAACAACUGUAAUUUAAAACGUUUGAAAUAAUGUAGAUGUUAGCUUGUUUUGCAAAAUCAAUUCAUAAAACAAAUCUUAAGGAUGAAAAGCAUUCUUUUGUUUGAACUUAACGCGUGAGUAAAUUUAAAGAUUGUAACUAAAAACGUUAAUAAUAAUAUAGAUGUUAGCUUGUUUUAAUAAAAUCAGUUAAUAAAAUUUGUUCGAUUGCUGUCGUUUUUUAUGCUUGAAGAAACGUUUUUUUCAAAUUUCAUGUAAAAUCUAAAAUCUUUAAAAUCCACGAUACCUUUUAAUGGAUAAAAUUUCAAUUUGGAAUUACUAUCAUCGUACAGAAACAAGAGAUAAAUCCGUACGUAAACAACGCUAAAAAAGAAUUAAAAUAGCAGGUGGAAGCAGUGUGGUAGGUACGUGACAUGAAAUUUUUAGAUUGAUUAAACACUAUAAUGUUUUAAAUCAUUGGAAAGCCCUUUAAUACAGUAUUUUAAAUAUGAAAAAAUUAUCAAAAUCGGACAAUUCUACAAAAACUUAUGAGAUUUUUAGUAACAAAUUUUUGAUAUAUGGAACUGUUGAAGGAACUUUGGUCA
rnacentral:lncRNA from 1 species